rnacentral:piRNA from 1 species
UNGACAGUGUUUCCCACAACAUGCCCUA